GGGUUCAUUCACAAGGGUGGGGUUUGGUGUUUCCUCCUGCUCGCACUGGUGUUGCUGGCUCCGGCGACAGUAGGCGCAGAGCAUGAGGAUGGGGCCACAACCAUCGCCACCUUACAGGUGGAGGAGGAGGUUGGCUCUCGCGGCGAUGACCAUGGCAACGACGACUGCGACAUCAAGUGUGCAUAUCAUCAAGAUCAGGCCAGUAGACAGUUCUGCGUGGACCAGUGCCACAGCCAGCAACAUCAUCAUCCUAGCAGAGAGUUCUGCGAGAUGAAAUGUCAACACUGGCAAGAUCUGGUAAGGAAGGAACAAUGUGUGCAACAGUGCAUGAGCUUUGGCCUCACCCUCCAUGUUCGCAACAACGACGACGUCAACGGGCGACGCCAUGCCUGGAAGGAGGAGGUAAUUGGCUCUCGCGGCGAUGACCAUGGCAACGACGACUGCGACAUUAAAUGUGCGUAUCAUCAAGAUCAGGCCAGUAGACAGUUCUGCGUGGACCAGUGCCACAGCCAGCAGCAUCAUCAUCCUAGCAGAGAGUUCUGCGAGAUGAAAUGUCAACACUGGCAAGACCUGGUAAGGAAGGAACAAUGUGUGCAACAGUGCAUGAGCUUUGGCCUCACCCUCCAUGUUGGCAACAACGACGAUGUCGACGGGCGACGCCAUGCCCGGGAGGAGGAGGUUGGCUCUCGCGGCGAUAACCAUGGCAACGACGACUGCGACAUCAAGUGUGCAUAUCAUCAAGAUCAGGUCAGCAGACAGUUCUGCGUGGACCAGUGCCACAGCCAGCAACAUCAUCAUCCUAGCAGAGAAUUCUGCGAGAUGAAAUGUCAACACUGGCAAGACCCGGUAAGGAAGGAACAAUGCGUGCAACAGUGCAUGAGCUUUGGCCUCAACGGCUGGGAAGCAGUGGCCGGAGCCAUCAUCGAGAUGGUGUGACGGCCGCGGCGGCGCAUCUAUAAUACUCUAUUAACUAUUAAGAGUGUAUGUAAGUUAUAGCGCGUACGUGCCACCGGCGGGUAGCAGCUCUAUACGAAGACCUCUGCCUUGGCCGACUAUGGCUCGUGCGUACGU
rnacentral:lncRNA from 1 species